rnacentral:rRNA from 1 species
GAGUUUGAUCGUGGCUCAGGAUGAACGCUAGCGGCAGGCCUAACACAUGCAAGUCGAGGGGCAGCAUAAAGUAAACUUGUUUACUUGGUGGCGACCGGCGCACGGGUGCGUAACGCGUAUGCAACCUACCUUACACAUGGGGAUAGCCCAGAGAAAUUUGGAUUAAUACCUCAUAGUAUUAUUGAAUGGCAUCAUUUAAUAAUUAAAGUUUCAACGGUAAAAGAUGAGCAUGCGUCCCAUUAGCUAGAUGGUAAGGUAACGGCUUACCAUGGCGACGAUGGGUAGGGGUCCUGAGAGGGAGAUCCCCCCACACUGGUACUGAGACACGGACCAGACUCCUACGGGAGGCAGCAGUGAGGAAUAUUGGUCAAUGGGCGCAAGCCUGAACCAGCCAUGCCGCGUGCAGGAUGAAGGUCCUAUGGAUUGUAAACUGCUUUUGUACAGGAAGAAACAGUUCUACGUGUAGAACCUUGACGGUACUGUAAGAAUAAGGAUCGGCUAACUCCGUGCCAG